rnacentral:rRNA from 1 species
CGCGGCCUAUCAGCUUGUUGGUGAGGUAAUGGCUCACCAAGGCUUCGACGGGUAGCCGGCCCGAGAGGGCGACCGGCCACACUGGGACUGAGAUACGGCCCAGACUCCUACGGGAGGCAGCAGUGGGGAAUAUUGCACAAUGGGCGCAAGCCUGAUGCAGCAACGCCGCGUGCGGGAUGACGGCCUUCGGGUUGUAAACCGCUUUCAGUAGGGACGAAGCUAACGUGACGGUACCUACAGAAGAAGGACCGGCUAACUACGUGCCAGCAGCCGCGGUGAUACGUAGGGUCCGAGCGUUGUCCGGAAUUAUUGGGCGUAAAGGGCUUGUAGGCGGUCCGUCGCGUCAGGAGUGAAAACUCGGGGCUUAACCCCGAGCCUGCUUUUGAUACGGGCGGACUAGAGGGAUGCAGGGGAGAACGGAAUUCCUGGUGGAGCGGUGGAAUGCGCAGAUAUCAGGAGGAACACCGGUGGCGAAGGCGGUUCUCUGGGCAUCACCUGACGCUGAGAAGCGAAAGCGUGGGGAGCAAACAGGCUUAGAUACCCUGGUAGUCCACGCCGUAAACGGUGGGCACUAGGUGUGGGGGACAUUCCACGUUCCCCGUGCCGAAGCUAACGCAUUAAGUGCCCCGCCUGGGGAGUACGG